rnacentral:lncRNA from 1 species
GUCCCACUCUGCCAAAAACAUCAUUGAGCAUCUACUCUGUGCCAAGUAAUGUUCUAUGCAGAUGAAUCGGUUCCCACCAUCCAGCGGUCACAGCCUGCCAGGAAGCAAGAGAAGACGACGAAGGUUAAAUGGAGGCAGGAAGCAACCCUCUCCUGGGCCCAGCUGGGAUGCAGCUUGGAUCUCUCAGGCUCAGUCUGGCUCUCUGUGGAGUUUUCCCUCGUCACGGCGCUCCAGUUUACCCAUGAUUCUCUUUUCCCAUCAAUUUGGAAGUGAUUUCAAAGGCCCUCCUCACCCGGCACGUGCUCUCCUGCCCUGUCGGACUCUAACUUGCCUCCUGAGGCUUUUCUCCCACUGUCCGGCCUCUUGCACUUCAGCCACCUGCCUUCUGAAAAUGCUCUGGGUCUCCGCGUCCCCUGGCUUGACUCCCCUGUGUCCCCAUACCUGUAACCUCUUUCUGUCAUCCCUCCACCAGCUGCGUGGAGUCCUACCCCUUCCUGAAAGCAUUUCUGAAAUGCCAUCUCCUUUAUGAAGCCUGCCCUGAGUCCUAAGCCAGGAGUGCUCACUUCUCAGCUUGGAAAGGACUUACUGUCCUCAUGUGGUGUUGAUUUCACUCAUUUAUGUGACACGUAUUUGCUGAACACCCAGAAUGCACUAAAAGAACACUGUGCUAGGUGUGGGAGUUACAGCGAUGAACAGAACACAAAGAACAAGCUUCCUGUCCCGUCCCCAGACUGGGUGUAAGUUCUUUGUAGGGAAGAACUGGGUCUAACGGUUCUUUGUAACCCCAAGAAUAGAGGAAGAAUUCAAUCAAACUUACUGAACCUAUUAACUAAUGAACUCAUUCUUUCUUCAUGCGAUGCCAUAACAGAGUUUGAAUCAACACUGUAAAUGACCCCACUAACUAAGGCUGAAAGUGAAAAGAAGAGGAAUACAUUCCGUUCUUAUUAAAAAAGCUGAGCGAUUGUUAUCUGCAGCAAAUGCAGAAUUCCGGUUUUAUCAAACGCAUCUCAGAGACACACCCCAGCCCCCAAACCAGACAGGCGUUGUAAACAUCUCUUCUUCCUGCUUAGAGACUGUGGAAUUCCAGAGCCGGACCUAUGGAGGACCAGCUCUCUUCUCCCUCCAUGGGAUGGAAGUGGAAUGGGAACUGAGCCCUGAGGGUAUUUGUGUGUUUGGACCCUUUGCACGAUGCCUAGUGCUGGACCGGGUGUAACCUCAGCCCACAAACCACUAGCAGGGGCCUGAAAGCAGACAGACAGGACUCAAAGGAAGAGAACACAAUUGCUCAAUGGCCCAAAAUCUGGAUCCCAGAAGGCAAAUUAUGGUUAGCCACAUCACUUCAUUAUUGACCUUGUUCUUUGGUACGUGUGUUCUUAUGUGUACACUGUGUCUUUUUCUUUUUCUAACCAAUCUCUUCCUUCCCACCCACACAAUUUAUACUAAAAGAUGGCAAAUGGCACGUAUACUGGCAAUUUUCUGCAGCUUAAGUCAUGGUCAAGACUCGUGAUGACUUAAAAGAAAAACAAAUGACAUCAGCUGUUUCCUUCCUGAUAACUACACUACUUUAAAGGAAUGCUGAGGUUUUGUUUAUAAAAAUACAGUGAUGAUUAUGUAGCCAAUGAGAGCCAUAGUUCCAGUAUAUUUUGUUUAGUUCAGAUUCAACUAAAAUGUUCAGCCCUCAUAGAAUCCUCUUUAAGCUCCGUGGUUUAUUUGCAAUCUGGUGAGCUUCUACACUUACCUGGAGGGUGGGUGUGCAUUUUAAGGUAUCAAGGCAUGAGAGCUGUAUUCUGAAGUGAAGGAGGUGAUACAGAAUAGGUUUCCUGUCAAAUUAGCAUUAGGUCACAGGCUUCUGUGGGAUCCCAUGACAUCAGGUGACCAGAGUGAUGGAACAAUAGCAGCCCGUGAAUCACAUGUUGGCUGGGGAGGAAUUCGAAUGGUUCUCCCAAGUCUAGCCGAGACUGUUAAUGCCCAGGCUGGGGAAGAGCUGUGUCAUCCUUUUGUAGCCCUGAGCUGGACAAGCCAGUGGGUUUCUGGAGAAGCCUCUGUUUGCAUAGCUAAAAAGUAAGACCACCUUAGAUAGGUCUACACUUACACUGUGUGACGGACCCUUAUCAGAGCCCUACUCACUGAUCAUGGGUUUGAUUGACUAAAGAGCAGUCUUGUGGUUUAUAGUGAUUGAGUCCAUGGGCACUGGGGGGAGAGGAACAGGGUGGAGGAAUUUGUCAGUCAGUUCUUCUGCACCAGGCAUUCGUUUUUCCUCAUGAUAUCAACAAAAGCUGUGGGGAGACUGAAGGUUUGUGUCCCCCCGAAUUCAUGUGUUGAAGCCCUAAUCUCCAACAUGAUGGUAUUUGGAGGUGGGGCCUUUAGGAGGUAAUUUGGCUUAGAUGAGGUCAUGAGGGUGGAGUCUCCAAGAUGGGAUUAGAACCCUUAUAAGAAGAAGAAGAGAUCAGAGCUUGCUUGCUCUCCACCAGAGAGGGCACAUUGAGAAAGCAGCCAUCUAUAAGCCAGGACGAGAGCCUCACUAGACACCAAAUCUUCUGGUCUUUGACUUUCUUCCUAGACUCUAGAACUGUGAGAAAUAAAUGUCUUUUUUUUUUUUUUUCGUGAGGAAGA